AAAAAGUGUUUGCAGAGUAAGCCAAAUACAAUUUAAGGAAGAUAACCUAUUAAAAAACACAUUGAAGAAAUACACAUUUAAAAAAAUUUUUUUUAUAUCUUUAAACUGCAUCUUACUUUGUAAAAAUGUUUUUCAGCCUGAAUAUUUGCUUUUCUAUUCUUUGUUUUCUUUUGAGUUUUCAAUAAUCUAUUUAUUGACAUUCUGCUUCCCAAACUAAACUACAAACUCCCCAAAACAGAGUUUGUCCUUGAUUAUACCACCACAUCGUAUAACGGUAACAUUGUUGAAUCCAACUACUUUACUAUUAGUAGAUUGCUAUCAAUAGUCUCCUACUUUAAAAUACAAUGCUUUCAUAGAACAAGCUGUCAGUUAAAUGAAAAGUCAAACAAUUGAUAUACAUGACAAAUGAGGUUCCCUUUCCAGAGUAAUCACAGUGUAUAUAUCUGUCUUUGGGCAUCAAAAUUGAUGAUCUAUUUCUAGCAUUGCAUUUGUUCUUUACUUCAUAGUUCAGUACAUAGUCUACAGGCUUAGUUAAUCUUCUAAUUGAUGCCAUUAUAGUCUCACCUGACAAUUCACAUCCUUGCUUUAAUUUCAGCUUUGUAUACUUAUGAGAACUACCUAUCUUAUGAUCAAAAUUUAAUUUUCUCUUUCUCUUCAUUUUAUAAACUGAUAGCACAGUGCAAUAAAAUUUAAAAUAUUCAAAGUACAGUAAAAUAUUCAACUUCCCCAAAAGUGCUGUAGAGACACAUUUAGACACAAAGAGAUUAUAUCAAACUAAAAAUCUACAGCCAGCAAAGACACCAAUCAACAGAAUGAAGAGACAACCUGAAGAAUGAAAGAGAAUAUUUGAAAACCAAAUGUCUGAUAAGGGAUUAAUAUCCAAAAUAUAUAAGGAACUCAAGCAACUCAGUAGCAGAAAACAACUCUUUUUAAAAAUGGGCAAUGGUCCUAAAUAAAGAUCUAUCAAGACAUAAAUGAUCAACAGGUAUAAUAAAAAAAUUUUCAACAUCACUAAUACCAGGAAAAUGAAAAAUUAAAGCUACAACGAGAUAACAUCUCAUACCUAUAAAAAUGUUUACUAUCAAAAAGAAAAAAAGGUGUUGGCAAAAUGUGGAGAAAAAGAAACACUUUUAGACUCUCGGUGAGAAUUUGAAUUAGUACACCUAUAGGAAAAACAUUAUGGAAGUUCCUCAAAAAAUUAAAAAAUAAAACUGCCAUGUGAUGGAAACAUUCACUUCUAGGUAUGUAUCCAAAGAAAAUGAAGCCAGAAGUAGAAGAGAUACAUGCAUCCCCAUGUUCUUUGCAGCAGCAUUUUCAAUAGCCAAUUUAUGGAAUCAAAAUAAGUGUCCGUCAAUGGAGGAACAAUAAACAAAAUGUAUAUAUACACAAUGCAAUACUAUUCAGACUUUAAAAAGAAGAUCAUUGUCAUUUGCAACAGCAUGAAUAAACCUGGAAGGCAUUAUGUUGAAAAAAAUAAACUAGGCACAGAAAAACAAAUACUACAUGGUAUAGCAUGGUGACUAUACUUAAUAAAUAAUGUAUUAUUUACUUGAAAAUGGCUAGUAGAGUAUAUCUCAAAUGUUCUCACCACAAGUGGAAGGAAAAAGUGAAGUGAGGAAUAUGAUCAUUAACAUGAUUAAUCAUUUCAGUGUUUACAUAUAUCAAGACAUCACAUUGUACUCCAUAAAUAUAUACAAUUUUAAUUUUAUCAAUUAAACCUUAGUAAACCAGAAAAAAGGGCUUAGCCUAGUGGCAGGCACCUAUAGUCCCAGCUACUUGGGAAUCUAAAGCAGUAGGAUCCCUUGGUCCCAAGAAUUUGAGACCAACCUUGGCAACAUAAUGAAACCUCAUCUCAAAAAUAAAACAGUGCAUGCCUGUAAUCCCAGCAGCAUGGGUGGCUGAGGCAGGAGGAUUGUGAGUUCAAAGCCAGCCUCAGGAAAAGCAAGGCAUUUUAAGCAACUCAAUGAGACCCUGUCUCUAAAUAAAAAUACUAAAUAGGGCUGGAAAUGUGGCUUAGUGGUCAAGCGCCCCAGAGUUCAAUCCCUGGUACCAAUAAAUAAAUAAAGUAAAAUAAUUUCCUUUAACCCAAUUUAAACAUUAUGUAAUACAUAUAUGUAUCAAGCAUUACAUGGUACCUCAUUAAUU
rnacentral:lncRNA from 1 species